CAAUGGCUGUUCCCCUCAGAGAGGGGGGAAGGGAAAAGGGGAAGAGGGGCGGGUUCUUCCCACCAAACUCACGCUGUCUGCGGUCUGCUGUGGCUGGGACCCCCCCUUCGUCGAUGAGCACAAACUGCUGCCAAAAACACAGGAGCGGAGGAGGGAAGAGGGCGACCCCCUCCCACAAAGUUCCUCUGCAGAACUCAGAUCCUCAGUCCUAAAGGAGUUUGGAGAAACCUGAGAAGGUCCAGCAGUAGCUGCCAUUGUGGUCAGAGACACAUGUCUUGUGGAGAGAGUUGAAGGAGCCUUGCCUAGACCAGUGAAAAGGUGGAUCCAUGGAGACAUAGGAGGAACCUGCAACUACUGGAAGGGAAGUGCUGAAGAUCACAGAGCCAAACUUCUCAGCUAUAACAGCCAUUUAACAAGGGGCAGUGGGGAAAUGGGGCAACGGCCACAUCUUACAGCUUGAGAAGUUCAAAUUCCGCAUCAGGAAACAAAAUUUGUACUUGGAGGGUGGUGCAGCCUGGGAUCAGGUCACAGAAAGGUGGGAAUUCUUCAUCCUAGGACUUUCUCCAUGUUUGACUGAUGAAAAGCACAGCUGUCUUGACCUAGUGCUGGUGACAAUCCUACUGUGAGCAGGUUGUCAGACCGAAGACCUCCAGAGGUGCCUCCCUACGAACGCCUCUCAGACUGAACCAGUUUCUAGCUCUAAAUCAAGAACAGGACUUCAUCUUUUAAGAGCCUAAUCUAUGUCUGAGUCAGUUUGAGGCACUGAAUUUACAUCACAUUUUCUUCACAAGCAAUUAUUUCGGACAAUUCAGGAUACAGAAGGUGCCUGCAAGGGAAUGAAGGAUGAUGUUCUGCAAACAUCUCUUCUGUUUUUAUAAAGUAGCCAAGCAGGAGUGUGCCAAAAACAUCACUGGAGUCUCAAAGCACAAGCUGGAUGGCAUCUAAAGAUGAGAACAAAAUUUGAACUGGUUCACUGAGGGCUGGAUUAUGAAUGUUUGAAUUGCUCUGAGUCAGAAAUUAACCUGGUGACCUUCACACUGGGUUUGCCCCGGCAAGCCAAAAGCCACCUUGUACUGUAUCUUAAGCUACCGAAAAACAGCACCUAUUUCCUGUGUCUCUGUUAUAGCAAAGCAGCUGAAAGAUUGCCAGCUAUGAAAGGUUCCUGGCCAAGCCAAUUUUGGAUUCAAACUUGGCCCAGGAAAAAUAACUACUUCUAUCCAAGGACACAAAGCAGCUGAAUGAUUUCAGAGCAUUCCUAUGCCAAGCCUGACCCAAGUCCAAGUCAGGAGAACCCAGCUGAAGACUCCAGGAAGUCCCUUUUUAAGGUAGAAAUGGGUUUAAGUAUUCAUGCUCCUAUUUUAAAGGUCUUGUACCUCUGGGUCCACAUCUGACCUGCCCAGCUCAGCGAAAAACCAAAAAGCUAAAUCAACUUUUAACAGGUAUUGACACACAACAGGACAGCAGUUACCCAAGUCUCCUGUUGUUCUCUCCUACUCUUCUAUUAAGCUGCGUUUUGGCAUGAAACAAAAUUUCUAACACUUCCUCAGUAUCCAUGUUUCUUUGAAGCUGGCAUAAAACAUCUCCAGCCUUCUCUUGGAUCUCACAGUCUUAAAUGACCUUUCCAUACGCCUUUUAGCAUGUUUUUCACUAUCAUUUUAGGGAUGCCAACCCUGGUGUCUUCCAAAGAAGUUUUGUCAUGUACUGAAGAACCCCAGUUAAACACAUUAUAUAUAAAUAAAAUUAUGCUGUACAAAUAUUCUGAAUUACAACACAAGAAGCUGCUACUCUACUCAUCUUCCAUUGAGGUGAGAUUGACCCGCAUUCCUUUAAGCCUGCAAACACCUGAUCUCUGUGAGACUGACAGAGACAAGGCCACGAGGUCCUCAGUGCUGGUUCACUGCUGUCAGAGGCACCAUGUCCUAUGAACAUGGCAUGUCUCACCUUAACUGCGCCUGCCACCAGUGUCUGUACCAGGCUGAAACAUGGCCAGAAAAAUGAUGUGAAAAAAGAGAAUAGUGCCAUGAGAGUUAAUUAGCCUGGCAGGAGAUUUAUUCCCAAAAGGCCACUGACAAGAGGUGAGAUUAUCAAAACAAAAGGGAUGGAAGGGAGUGCAGAUCAGAGAGGAGUCCAUGAUGCAGCUCGGAUUUUGCCUGCUCCCCUCCAAGAAUCACAUCCCCUCUCACUGAAAUGUUGUCUCAAACAGAACCCCCAACCCAGGCAUCCCUGGGGGUUGUGCCCACAGCAUUGACAUCUCCCCAGAUCUCUGCCCCCUACUCACAGUGAAAAACAUCUUACUUUAACUUUUAAGAGCAAACAGUAAUGAUGCAGAGAAAAGGGGGGAAAAAUAAAAGCCAUUACAGCUACACUGUGAGCUCUUUAGGGCUUAAAAGUAAAGUAAAUGGGAGUGAGGACACGUGAGUGUGGAGCGUGUAGAGUAGCAGCACAAUCACACCGAAAUAGAAACAGCACUCCGAACACACAGCAGGCUGGGAGGAGCAGAGAGGGCACAAGAAAAAGUUCCAGAAAUACCUUCAAAGCACAAGAUGACAAAGGGAAGCCUGGCCUGGUGGGACCAUGACAGCAUAUAAAAGAUGACACAGAUGAGGCUGAAACAUCCAGCAUAUUCUUUAACGCUCAGAAUAAAGAAGUCAUGGCAACAAGCUGUGUAAGGCAGCGUGUUUUACAAAGAGAUUAGGCAGGCCCGGUGUGAGAAAGGAUGAGUUAAAAAUGACUGAACCAGAACAGAGGUACUCAGAUACACAGCACCUGCACACAUCCCCCUGAGUACUCACAGAUUCAGCUGAAGCUGCUUCUGAAAGGUAAAGAGCUGCUCUGGCCAAAGGGUUGGUUUCCCUGUGCUGGACGCCUGGAACAAAGUGGGCUGGAUGCAACCUCAUCUCCCAGAGCAAGAGGGGCAGGUGAGUAACAACCAUGCUUUCAAGGGAUCUCUCUGCCUCCCUCACACCUGUGUUCUUAGAGCCUCUC